rnacentral:lncRNA from 1 species
GUCUGCCUUUCCACAGAAAGUUGGGAAAUAGAAAUUCUGACUUUUUCAGCUGCAUCCAGUUCUUUCUACAGAGAGUAAACAUGAAGUGUUCUCUGAACCCAGGGGAGGCAAGGCGCGAGCUAAGAGGCUGGGGAAAACUCCAGGAGGCGCAGGAGCUGCAGAGGCGUUUCUUCUCUCCUGGCUGGCACAGCAGCCACAGCAGCAGGCUCGCUCUCUUCUCUCCUCUUGUGGCUGAGCCAGCGGACACAGCCAUGAGGCAGCAGGACUGCCACCGCUUUUUAGCUUCCUGCAGCAAAGAAUUAAUGAAGUUUCAACCAGUUUAUAGAACUCAGCAAGGUCAGGAUGAAUGACGGCAUCACAGAGGACUAAGGAAUUCUACAGGGCCUAGAUUUCCAG